AUGAGGGAUUUUGAUGAAGACACUGCAUUUUUAGGAGACUGGGGGCCUUAUCAAAAAUUAAUCUUCAUUCUCCUGGGUCUCAGCAGCAUCCCCAAUGGAUACGUGGGAAUGGCCAUGGUUUUCAUGGCUGAUAUUCCUCCUCACCACUGCAGGCUUCCAUUCCUGAACAGCAGCAGCUAUGGGGGACCGGGCUACAAUCUGUCCCUCCCGACCGAGGAGGUAAGAGGAGAGGUCAUCCUGAGUCGCUGCAGACGCUAUGCGGAACAGGGGGCUUUGGAUGCCGGGUCUAACCAAAGCUCAGAGCGCUGUCUGGAUGGCUGGGUGUUCAGCAAGGAGAGAUACGUGUCCACCAUUGUGACUGAGUGGGAUCUGGUGUGUGAUGAUGAAUGGAAAACUCCUUUUACAGUCACCUUGUUCUUCUUUGGGGUGCUGAUGGGGUCGUUUCUGUCAGGAAUUAUAUCAGACAGGUAUGGAAGAAAAUGUAUCUUCUUUGCCACAAUGGCAGUCCAAACUGUCUUUAGCUUAAUCCAGGCAGCUUCCAACAGCUGGGAGAUGUUCUGUGUGUUCUACUUCAUUGUCGGCCUGGGACAAAUAGCAAAUUAUUGUGCAGCUUUCGUUCUAGGAUGUGAGCUUCUGAAUAAGUCAUGCCGUGUCAGCUUUGCCACUCUGGGUGUCAGCUUAUCGUACGCUUUCGGCUAUCUGUGCCUCCCUGUCUUUGCCUACUUCAUCCGGGACUGGAGAAUGCUUAGGGUGGCCUUGUCUGCUCCAGGAUUCCUGUACAUACCUAUGUGGUGGUUUAUCCCAGAGUCCCCUCUCUGGCUACUGUCUCAGGGUCGAGUGGAGGAGGCUGAGGCCAUCAUUAGAGCUGCUGCCAAGAAGAACGGCAUCACUCCUCCUGACGUCAUCUUCAAGAGAGACGACACUGCACAGCUGAUGGAAAAGGAUGAUGGAGAUGAUCAGAAAAAAUAUACAUGGCUGGAUCUCAUAAGAACAACAAAUAUAAGAAAUAUCACAAUCCUGAAUGUAAUAAUUUGGUCAAUAAUAUCUCUGACUUACUACGGACUGUCAUUAAACACCCCUAAUAUGGAUGGAGAUCCUUACCUGAACUGUGUCUUUGCUGCUGGCACUGAGUUUGCCGGGUACACUAUGAUGUAUUUUGUGGGGCGUUAUGUUUCACGACGCUUGACGCUGUCAUCCUGCAUAUUUUUCUGUGGGAUCAUGCUGCUCCUCAUCAAGAUUGUUCCAGCAGAACUGGGCGCUUUGAGUGUCACCUUGGCCAUGUUUGGAAAGAUGUCCAUGACGGGGGCCUUUGCUUUUGUCUAUCUCUAUGGUACUGAGCUGCUGCCCACUGUGGUGCGGAACAUGGGCCUGGGAAUGACCACUAUGGCCUCUCGAGUGGGCAGCAUGUUAUCUGCGCAGAUAGCCUACAUAGGGACAUAUAAUAAGGUGUUACCCUAUAUUCUUAUGGGGUGCAUGUCCAUAAUCUGUGGGGUUUUAAGUCUGCUAUUACCAGAAACAAAAGAUGAGGCGCUUCCGGAGCACAUCAGCCAAGUUAAACCUCUCCAUUGGUGCUGCGAAUUUCAAGAAUUGGUGGGCGGAACACCAAGGACUGUGCUGGGUUGGACAGGCUCUUCACCAACAGCCUCAUGGCCAAAUUUAAUUUGAAGGGCAAGGGGAAAAAGGGGAAACGUCCUUUAGAGGGAACAAAGGUUUAUAGAGCAAUACAAGAAGGGCUCAUGAAAUUCGAUCCCACAGCCACCAAGGAGAACAUCAAAGCGAAUGUGUCCGAGCACCUGAAGCACGCGCCGCAGACGUGGAGGAUUUACAACGCCCUGAUAAGCCAGCCCCCUCACUCCGAGACGGCCCUAAAUGAUAUCGGCCUCCACCUCACCAGUGUUGUGGCGACAGAGGCGUGGACAUUUAGUCAAGAUUGUGUUUCCCUUUUGAAAAGUUUUUUUUAUAACACUGGAGCUACAAUAAGUCACUGGAUGGCUCACAUACAUACACACACACACACACACACUCACUUACACAGGAUUUUUAAAGAGUUAAAUUUAAAGAGUUCAAUUCAAUUAAAAUCUUAUUCAGAUAGAUAGAUAGAUAGAUAGAUACUUUAUUGAUCCCCAGGGGAAAUUCAAGAAAUUCAUUCAUAAUUCUGCUUCAACUGUAUUAUGCUUGAUAUGUCUGGUGCCCUGAUGCCAUUCAGGGCCAUUUGUUUUUGAAUAAAGAUGGAAAUGGGUAUUGAAUUGUGA